CCCUAGUAUAUAAAACUAUUUUGAUUAAUAAGAUUUUUGAAAUUUAAAAAUUCUGGCGGUUAAUUAAGAAUUAGAGGAGCUUGUUUGAAAUAGAAGUUGCACUUUAGAUUUUACUAAGUUUGAUGUAUAUUCAUCUCCGUUAUUAGAUUUAAUUUUAGAUUGAAUAACCUCAUGAUUCUAGUUUAAUUUCAGGUCAAGAUGUAGCUUAAGUUAGAAAGAAUUAGCUACAAUUAUUUAGUAAUGGAUAUUUCUGUGAAAGAUUAGAGUGGAAAAUGAAUUUAAUUGUAAUUUAAACUAGAAUUUUGUUUUUAUGAAUAGAAAAUUAAUGUA
rnacentral:rRNA from 1 species